rnacentral:lncRNA from 1 species
AUGAUAAACAGCCCUGGCACAUCAACACCUUCUGAGGCCAUGGAGCUCCUCCCCAGUCAGACACUGGCACAUUCAGUCACCUCCCCAAGAUGGGGGGGAGCAGAAUCUCUGGAAGGCCUCCUCGCUAUGGCUGAGUUCCCUAGAUCCAUGAACAUGGGAGGGUGUGGACAGGUUACAGGAGAAGGAGUGGUGUUGAAAACACCCUGCAAACUACACUUUGAUCAAAGCAGAAAUAAGCACUUUCACAUCAUAUCAAGGAGGCUAAUAAUGAAGGAGUCAGUAAAAAGGAGAGCAAUGCUAUGGGGGUUAUCUCACAACCCCAGAUGCUGGAUAAGUUGA